rnacentral:misc_RNA from 1 species
GAUGAAGAACGUAGUGAAAUGCGAUAAGUAGUGUGAAUUGCAGAAUUCAGUGAAUCAUCGAAUCUUUGAACGCACAUUGCGCCCUUUGGUAUUCCAAAGGGCAUGCCUGUUCGAGCGUGAUUUGUACCCUCAAGCUUUGCUUGGUGUUGGGCGUCUUGUCUCUAGCUUUGCUGGAGACUCGCCUUAAAGUAAUUGGCAGCCGGCCUACUGGUUUCGGAGCGCAGCACAAGUCGCACUCUCUAUCAGCAAAGGUCUAGCAUCCAUUAAGCCUUUUUUUCAACUUUUGACCUCGGAUCAGGUAGGGAUACCCGCUGAACUUAAGCAUAUCAAUAAGCGGAGGA